GGCUUAACACAUGCAAGUCGAGCGAGAAAGUAUCUUCGGAUAUGAGUAGAGCGGCGGACGGGUGAGUAACGCGUAGGAAUCUACCUAGUAGAAGGGGAUAGCCCGGGGAAACUCGGAUUAAUACCGUAUACCUUCUAAGGGAGAAAGAGGGCCUCUCUUGAAGCUCUCGCUACUAGAUGAGCCUGCGUAAGAUUAGCUUGUUGGUAAGGUAAUGGCUUACCAAGGCUACGAUCUUUAGCUGGUCUGAGAGGACGAUCAGCCACAUUGGGACUGAGACACGGCCCAGACUCCUACGGGAGGCAGCAGUGGGGAAUAUUGGACAAUGGGCGCAAGCCUGAUCCAGCCAUACCGCGUGUGUGAAGAAGGCCUUCGGGUUGUAAAGCACUUUAAGCAGGGAGAAAAAGCAAUAAGUUAAUACCUUAUUGCCGUGAUGUUACCUGCAGAAUAAGCACCGGCUAAUUCCGUGCCAGCAGCCGCGGUAAUACGGAAGGUGCAAGCGUUAAUCGGAAUUACUGGGCGUAAAGCGCGCGUAGGUGGUUUGUUAAGUUGGAUGUGAAAGCCCUGGGCUCAACCUAGGAACUGCAUCCAAAACUAACUCACUAGAGUACGAUAGAGGGAGGUAGAAUUCAUAGUGUAGCGGUGGAAUGCGUAGAUAUUAUGAAGAAUACCAGUGGCGAAGGCGGCCUCCUGGAUCUGUACUGACACUAAGGUGCGAAAGCGUGGGUAGCGAACAGGAUUAGAUACCCUGGUAGUCCACGCCGUAAACGAUGACAACUAGCUGUUGGGAGACAAUGUCUUUCAGUGGCGCAGCUAACGUUUUAAGUUGUCCGCCUGGGGAG
rnacentral:rRNA from 1 species